GUGGUUUAAUCGAAGCAACGCGAAGAACCUUACCAGGUCUUGACAUCCCGAUGCUAUUUCUAGAGAUAGAAAGUUACUUCGGUACAUCGGUGACAGGUGGUGCAUGGUUGUCGUCAGCUCGUGUCGUGAGAUGUUGGGUUAAGUCCCGCAACGAGCGCAACCCCUAUUGUUAGUUGCCAUCAUUCAGUUGGGCACUCUAGCGAGACUGCCGGUAAUAAACCGGAGGAAGGUGGGAUGACGUCAAAUCAUCAUGCCCCUUAUGACCUGGGCUACACACGUGCUACAAUGGUUGGUACAACGAGUUGCGAGUCGGUGACGGCGAGCUAAUCUCUUAAAGCCAAUCUCAGUUCGGAUUGUAGGCUGCAACUCGCCUACAUGAAGUCGGAAUCGCUAGUAAUCGCGGAUCAGCACGCCGCGGUGAAUACGUUCCCGGGCCUU
rnacentral:rRNA from 1 species